rnacentral:lncRNA from 1 species
GCGGUCCGGAGAGGGUCUGGCCCCACUGCUGGGGCAAGGGCUCUAGGCGCCCGGACCCCACGCCCGCAGCCUGCGGAGAACGUGCCGACAAGGACCUGUAGGGCCCCACUCCCCCUCCUCCCUCCCUCGGCGCAGCCCGGCCCAGGGGUCUGUCCUCCCAGGCCCAGGAAAGGAGGAAACCCACUUCCGCCGCGUCCAUGAUCUCCCGCGGCUUCUCCUGACUCUUGCGGCUGGCGCUGGCGCUGGGCAUCGGGACACGGAACUGGGCAGUGGACACCACCCUCCCUCGCAGGCUUCCAAAGUAAUUUGAAGGCCUUCCCUGACUUAAAGUGGAUGCUGCUUUGGAAAGCACUGGAAAAAUGGAUCCUGUCUUUCUUAGCCAAGGACUGGUCUCUUUUCUCCAAUGUGUCCCUAACAGAGUGGUGAGGCUGGCUCUUCCCACCAGUACAGGAAGAUCAUUCCUUAAAAGAAAUAGCCAUAUGGCUUAUAAGGGACUAUAUCUUAAGACUAUGUGUCUUCUGCAGUUCUUUGCAUAGAGUCAACGUUGAAGGACAAGCAACUUCAAAUUUCCAAGCAACAAAAUUAUGUUCGGGUGGUUUUCUGAAAGCGAGAUCUUAAGAACCACCUGUAUCAGAAUCCCAUGAAGAGCUUGUUUAGUGUGCAAAUUUACAGAUUGUCCCCCCUCAGAAAUGCUCAUUUAGGAGUUCCUGUCCUUUGCGGGGACAUGGAUGAAGCUGGAAACCAUCAUUCUCAGCAAACUAACACAGG